rnacentral:tRNA from 6 species
AUUCCCUUGGACAAGCGGUUUAAGUCAUCUCACUUUCACUGAGAAGAUCACGGGUUCAAAUCCCGUAGGGAAUACCA